rnacentral:rRNA from 1 species
GCCUACGGGGGGCAGCAGUGAGGAAUAUUGGUCAAUGGGCGGAAGCCUGAACCAGCCAAGUCGCGUGAGGGAAUAAGGCCCUACGGGUCGUAAACCUCUUUUGCCGGGGAGCAAGGGCGGGGACGUGUCCCGGCCCGGAGGGUACCCGGAGAAAAAGCAUCGGCUAACUCCGUGCCAGCAGCCGCGGUAAUACGGAGGAUGCGAGCGUUAUCCGGAUUUAUUGGGUUUAGGGUGCGUAGGCGGGCUUUUAAGUCAGCGGUAAAAAUUCGGGGCUCAACCCCGGCCGGCCGUUGAAACUGGGGGCC